rnacentral:rRNA from 1 species
UCUUCCUACGGGGCGCAGCAGUGGGGAAUAUUGGGCAAUGGGCGCAAGCCUGACCCAGCAACGCCGCGUGAAGGAAGAAGGCUUUCGGGUUGUAAACUUCUUUUGACAGGGAAGAGUAGAAGACGGUACCCGUCGAAUAAGCCACGGCUAACUACGUGCCAGCAGCCGCGGUAAUACGUAGGUGGCAAGCGUUAUCCGGAUUUAUUGGGUGUAAAGGGCGUGUAGACGGCAUGGCAAGUCAGAUGUGAAAGCCCGGGGCUCAACCCCGGGACUGCAUUUGAAACUGUCAGGCUGGAGUGCAGGAG